ACUCAAAGGAAUUGACGGGGGUCCGCACAAGCGGUGGAACAUGUGGUUUAAUUCGACACUACGCGAGGAACCUUACCUAGGUUUGACAUGCAUAUGAUCGCUACAGAGAUGUAGUUUUCUAGGGGUAACCCUAGACAUUUGCACAGGUGCUGCAUGGCUGUCGUCAGCUCGUGUCGUGAGAUGUUGGGUUAAGUCCUAUAACGAGCGCAACCCUUGCUAUCAGUUGCUACUUUUUAAGGCACUCUGAUAGGACUGCCCGGGAAACCGGGAGGAAGGUGGGGAUGAUGUCAAGUCCGCAUGGUCCUUAUGCCUAGGGCAACACACGUGUUACAAUGGCCAAUACAGAGGGCUGCAAAUCCGCAAGGUGGAGCUAAUCCCAGAAAGUUGGUCUAAGUUCAGAUUGAGGUCUGCAAUUCGACCUCAUGAAGUUGAAAUCGCUAGUAAUCGCGUAUCAGAACGACGCGGUGAAUACGUUCUCGGACCUUGUACACACCGCCCGU
rnacentral:rRNA from 1 species